CUGUUUUGAAGUUACUCACUUGUCCUUUGACGCAGAAGAGCUGUUAUCCAAGACUUUCAUAGAGAUGUUGGAAGUCAAGUGGGGCAUAAAUUAUAUUAAAAUGUCCAUUUAUUCCAUCAGCCCUUUUUGUGAUCCCUCCCUCCAGCUGAUUGUGCUGUUGGUCAGUACUUCUGUAACUCAAGAUGAUCAGUAUGUAGUCUCUAGAGCAUACCUACCUAACACUGGUUUCAUCCUGUCACUGCUUAGAGAGGCUUGUUUCCACAAGCCAGAGUUGCUAAAAUCAUCUGAAAAUCAUCUGCUGAUGUUAAAAUAAAUUGGAGCAAGCACGUAGACACGUGGUCUCGACAGAGCCAGCCGUGGCAAAGCAAAAUCAAAUCAGGCGGCUUAACUCCGCAACACUUUGAGGUUACGUCGCUGUCAUGUCAGUCCAAACGUAGAAGGCCAUAAAUAGAGAACUUGCACAUUAAAAUGUUUGAUGAGAGUGAAGAGAGGAUGCCCACCAGCACACCUGGAAGAUGCCGUCUUCAGAGUCGUCUUCUUCGCUAUUGGACAGCAGCUCUGGAAUGAGAUACUCAGAGGUUCAUAGGAAGGAGCCAGUAGGGAUCAAAAUGAAGUCUCCUUUCAUUUAAAAGGAAGAGAAAAUGCAGGUCGUGAGAAUCAAGAUAGAAAAGCCGUUUUCCACAUCUCAUUUGAUGCAAACAAAUGGAAGAGCAGUAUCGCCACUUCUUCAGGCUCUCGGAAGACUGAGAAGCUGUGCUUGAGCCGAGCGUGUUGUGGAGGUGAACAGAGGAGAACACACAAAUCAUAUCUUAUGUUUGAUGGUUCACACCUGCUGGUCUGAAGGUGCAAGAGCCAAGACAUAGCUUAGAGUAGCCCUAAAGCUUCUUUAAGUUGUGCUUGGAAAACAAUUGCCUCGCAUGGCUGUUGGAGUGGAAGGGAUCAUUUUAGUGCAUUUAAAGCACGUUCAGUUCACACGAUCUUUUCUGUAAAUAUCCAAGGCAUGCCAUUGUCAGAACCAGUGAUCUGAAUUCUUGAAUCAAGCUUACUUGAAUAAAAUUUCAGAAUUUAACCCUCAUACGUCUUUUUAGUGAUGUCUGAGUAAGUGCAAACUAUAGACGUGUUAGCACGGCGAUACAGUUUGUAACGUGUAAAACUGGUGUGACAGAGAGCAGAGACUCACGGUUGCUUUUCUAUGCUUAGUUAUACACAACAUUGUUUGUAUUUCUGUUGUCUUGGAAGCUCUGUCCUGGAUUUGCGCUCUACUGUGCAAGGUGCUUGACACGUACACUCCGUACAGCUCUCUCUCUCCAGCUGUCGUGCUCAGGGAUAAAUCCUGAUGGUAACAUCACUCCAUUGCCAUAACGGUAACCUUGGGACCUGUUCCUCACAUGGACAGGCUUUGAAAUGAGCUGUUUUGCUGACCUACCGCAACUGGGUACUUAAUAGCUAAAUGCAGAAAAGGUUUUGAUAUGGAUUUUUGUAAUUAAAAUGAAGGAAAUUGCGCCAGAAGGCGUGUCCUAGCAGUUCCACGAAGAAAACCUUUCUCCAAAUGUGUUACCUGAUUUAACAGACAUUUGUCCAGCUGAAGAUGCAAAUCCAAGAAGCAUGAGUGAUGGAGUACAUGACUAGAAGGAAGAUCGUACAUAAAUCAGUUUGUGACUACAAUGUUCUCUGUGUUGUUGCAAUAAAACUAUUCAUUUCUUUGCAGGGAAAGGUAGUAUAUUAUAUUAUAGUAUAUAUGAGGUUAUGCUCUAUCAUAGUGUAUAUAUAUUAUAUUGCAGUUUAUCCGAAGUAAGUUAGCCCGACUGGGAAUGUAUCAGCUAGCAGGAAGUUUAUUCUGAGCACUUAGAUUACUUUGAAUUAAGGGAGUUCAGCUGAAAAGGCUGUUUGAAGCUGUGUGUUCUGUCUGGUGUGUGCAGGAGGAGCACAGAGCUAUUAAGCGGGUGUGAAAUAAGGAGUGUAUUCCCCUGGUUUGGCAUCAUGGUAGUGGGUGAUGCAUUUAUAUUGUUAUAGGUGUGUACUCAAUUCUGACUUUUUGCGGUGAUAACAUCGUUUUGGUAAAGAAAACACAACUUUAAAGCUAAAUUAACUGUGUUCCUCUAUGUUCGAGCAUACAGGUCAAACUGUUUCACUCAAUGAACCUACUUAAAAAAUUAAUCCCAGUUUUACAGGGUUCAUCUUCUUUCUGGUGCUGAUUGGUGGGUGUUUGGGUGCCUCCAGAGAAUCAGGAAGGAGAAAGCUCAGGUGGGUCUCUGACCAGACCUGUUUGUUUUGUACUGAUGGUACAAAAGUCAGUGCUUGGGACCUUGCCCUGCAAAUGCAAACAGGGGUGCUCUCUUCCUCCUUCACCCUCCUGUCUUACCCAGGUGGCUGCUAUGCAUGGAAUACAAGUUUUUCUUUUUAUAUGGUCUUGGAGGAGGAGGUUGAACGUGAAAUCAAGGAGCUUUAUCUGAUUGUCUGACCUUGUUUCUGUAUGAGUAGCUAAGUGUUGAGCUAGGCUAUUAGUUCUCCCUUCUGCAUCUUGCUCCUAGAAGACAGAUGAUGUUAUGAGUGCUGUUUGGACAAGAAAUGUGGAGAACGUGGAGGUCAGAGACCUUACCGUUGUGUUCAAGAUCCCACAGAAACGGUUUGAGAGGUCCAAGGCUCCUUUCAGGACUCCUGUGGGUCAGCCGAGUGGGCUGUUUCCAGAUCGUGGUGGGUAACAGCACAUGAGCUGUGUCAGCUCCAAGAGAGGGGCUGUGGGAGGAGAGAAGUAUGCUGUCAGGAAAUAGUUUUAUACCUUGAUAUUUUCUUUUCAGAGAAAAUCCUAGCCCACCCUCAGAAAAGAAAACGUACGAUGUGUUCUCUUCCACGCUGUGAAACUCCCUUCCGUUUAUAAAAAUAAAGGGAACUUCUUGCUUAACACCAUUAUUGAUAUGAACCGACCUGGAUAAUGGAUCCAGAGCUGGGGUUUUGAGUACUGUGUGCUUACAAAAUGGUCUCGAGGCUUUUUUCUCCUGUGUCCUGCUCCCCUGGAAUGCAUGUUGUCCACUUGCCCUCAGAAUGAUGUAGCUGCCUUCAGACUUGGGACCCUCUUGUAGAAUCCAUCAGGUGGAGAAGGCAGGUGACAUGGGCGUGUUGGAAGGAAGAGAACUCUGGAUGUGGCUGAGAGGAGGCUGGAACGAAAAGAAGGAUGAGGGGGACACAGUGAUGAGGAAUCUUUGGCCAGGGCAGGGAGCAGGAGAGGGAACUACGUCUGGGAACUGUUGUAGUGCCUUUCAGCAAAAGCUUUGAGAUGAGAAACAACCACAGGAUUGAGAACCAGCGUAUUUGUUGAGAGGCAGAAGAUUUUUGUCCUACCUUAUGUGGAAGUAAUUUCCUAGGAACUCUCUUUAGGUCCACUUCCUCUGCUCCAGCCUCCACCUCCCAGCACAUUGCUCCUCCAGCUUGGCCUCCUCACAGUGCAUCCCCCUGUAGGAGGACAGCUUUUCCACUCAGUGGUGAUUGGCCUCUGUGCUGGCUAGAACCGGAAGGUUCAUUUCUAAGUCUCUUAUCUCCAGAAGCAAGGCAGCAGAGCUCCCUAGCCAAAACUUUCUCUGCAUGCUCGCACACCACUGGCAGUCAAACCGGGGUUUUAAAACCAGACAGCAGCUGUUUUCCACAGUUGUCCAUAUUUUCAGGUGUAAGGAAAAGGUGCCUUUCUCUUCAAAAGUGAAAGAGCUUGUUGGCCUGACCACUGUGGUUGUUGAUAUGCCUCUUCAGCUAUGAGUCUUCGUCUUCCAGGGCAUGCUGAUCAUCUCGAACUCUUCCUAGUUGUCUCACUGGUGGUCAAAGAACCAACAGACAAGUGAUCUGCUGGACCUGACACUUAAAAAGGAAGAGCUGGUAGGUAGUGGGAAGAUCAGUAGUGUCCUUGGCUGCAGUAACCAUAAGAUGCUGUAGUUCAGAGUAUGUGUCAGAGGGGUCACUAUAGAGGUCAAUACUGUUUAACGUCUUCGUGAAUGACCUUAGUGAUGCAGUGGAGUGCACCCUCAGCAAGUCAGAAGAUGAUACAAAAUGUGGAGGAUUGGCUGGUGUACUGAAUAGUGAUGCCGUUGUUCAUAGAGACCUUGAAAAGCUGGAGAAAUGGGCUUAUGAGAACCUCAUGACGUUGAGCAAAGAGAAAUGGAGGCCCUGAACCUCGGUUUUGUUGGUGGCCAUCAGACUGGAAAGCAGUUCUGCAGAGAAGGACCUGGGGUCCUGGUUGACACCAAGUUGAACACGAGUCAGUAGUGUCCCUGCAGUACAGAAAGCCAACAGCAUCCAGGGCUGUAUUGCCAGCAGGUCAAGGGAGAUGAUCCUUUCUGCUCAGCACGUCUGGAGUGCAAUGUAUGGGAGCUUCCCAACAGAAGAACCUUGAAAUACAAAACCUGACUGGACAUAGUCCUGAACAACCUGCUUUACUUUGCCUUGCUUGAGCUGGGGGUUGGACUAGACAACAUCCAAAGGUGCCUUCCAACCUCAGCCACUCUGUGAGUCUGUGGGAUGCUGUUUGCCAGCUGUAAAGUGGGCUGGCGGUUGUUCUGGGCAGAAACAAGGGAUUGAACGCUCUUUAAAAUGAAUUUAAAUGAAGAUAGCGUCUGGUCUUAUGCUCCUGAUAAAGGUAGAGGCAAUUGUGAAAAUUCAUAUGUAGACUUGUGUGGUCUUUGGAUACUUCAGCAAGGAGGAAAAUACCUCCAAAUUGAGGGAAAAGGUCUCCAAGCACUUUGCACAGGCCCAGCCCAUGGUGAAAAUGCUGUUACCAUGGACUUCCACAUGUGAGUAGUUGUGGUAGCAAUGAGUAUUCUGCUUUCAUGAGCGUUUAGGUUAUAUAAGAGAGUAAGUCCAUUGAAUUUUCAACAAGACUUUGAGUCUUUGAGUCCCUUUUGCAAACUGGGUGCGUCUUCUAGGCUUGGGUAGCUUUGAAAACCCAUGAGGCGUGAUCAGUCCUCCAAACUUUACCGUGAAACUGCUUAAUGCUCUGAAACUGCUGUAAUGUUGGACUUGUUGUGCACACACCAGAAUUUUCAGCAACAGAUGAGAAAAAGAUAUAAAGUAAUUCCCCAUUUGGAUUUCCUGAAUACAGAAAUUCUGGAAUUUUAUGUAUGUAUAUAUAUGGCUGAAUUUUCGCCCAUGUAUUUUUUUGACAUUUGUAUUUCAGCAAAUAUAUUUGGACAUCCACUUGAAAUGCAUUUGUCUGUUUUAAUGUCUUGCAUAUUGAAGUGUUUCGACCCUCUAACUUUAACGUUCAGACAAUUUAACCAUUUUGGUGGGGUGUGUGUGACCAGUUGAGCACUGUUUGUUACUGACUUUAGGUAUCUUGGGAUGCUGGCAAAGCACUUGAAGGCUUGCAGGGCUCUGGACCUGUGUCGUCAGGUAUUUAUGGAUAACAGUGAAGCAAUAGGUCUUUAGGAAGUGGAGAGUUCUAUGUGGAUCAUGGUUGCAACUCCUGUCCCAAGGAGAGCUCAGCCGUGUACCCAGAGCUGAGCUUUGUUACUUCUAAGAUUGGCGCAGUCUGGAGAUGUGGGGAAUGGAGAUCCACUGUUUGGAGGUGCUGCAAAGCAGCCACAGAGCUGCCACUGCCAGUUGUCUUCUGCUGUGCGUGACUGCAAGUGCUCUUGGUCUGUGCCUUGCCAAAAAAAAAAGCCUGAUUGGGGCAGAAUUGAGGACUUGGGCAUUUUAUUGACAUGGGGAGACUCUUCCAUCUGUCCUUGUUGG